rnacentral:rRNA from 1 species
UACGGAGUGUGCAAGCGUUACUCGGAAUCACUGGGCUUAAAGGGCGCGUAGGCGGGCUCGCCAGUCAGGGGUGAAAGCCCACGGCUUAACCGUGGAAGUGCCUCUGAUACUGCGGGUCUCGAGGGAGGUAGGGGCGUGCGGAACUUCCGGUGGAGCGGUGAAAUGCGUAGAUAUCGGAAGGAACACCGGUGGCGAAAGCGGCGCGCUGGACCUCUUCUGACGCUGAGGCGCGAAAGCCAGGGGAGCGAACGGG